AGCAGUAGCCGCGGUAAAACGAAGGGGGCUAGCGUUGUUCGGAAUUACUGGGCGUAAAGCGCGCGCAGGCGGUUCUCCAGGUCAGUGGUGAAAGCCCGGAGCUCAACUCCGGAACUGCCAUUGAAACUGUUGAACUUGAGGACGAGAGAGGUGAGUGGAAUUCCCAGUGUAGAGGUGAAAUUCGUAGAUAUUGGGAAGAACACCGGUGGCGAAGGCGGCUCACUGGCUCGUAUCUGACGCUCAGGCGCGAUAGCGUGGGGAUUAAACAGGAUUAGAUACCCCGGUAGUCCCUGUCUCUUAUAC
rnacentral:rRNA from 1 species